ensembl:lncRNA
UGUUCCUUUAAGUUUUGGGGGUUUUUUCUGGAAAACCCACCAAAAAGUAUAUACAUCUGUAUGUAGAGGAAAAUGAUUAGGGGAAAAAUACUCCAAAACGUUAGCUGUGGUUUUUGCUUCUGGCAAAGCACAGGCAACGUUUAUUUUUUCCCUCCUGCUCAUAUGUAUUUUCUGACUUUUCUACGAGGCACAUGCCAUGCUUCUUUAAUAAAAACAAACAGAACACAGAGGGGCCUGUGGGUUCCCUGGGUUGUGGGUUCUCUGGGUCACGGGCUCCUCUGGGCCUCCUCGGGGUCCCAGCUUCCAAAAUAGACCUGCCCUCCGACCUGGCAGGCUCGUUCUUCACGUCCUGGAGUGAGUGCCAGAGGCGGGCUCAGAGGCGGCCGCGCACCCCGGGCCUGAGAAAGGACCGGCGUGGUUGGUGGCCCAGGCUGAGCGGCACAGCCAAGAGGGUGCGCGUCCUCCAUCUGGGCCCCUCGGCCUCUGGGCCGGCAGAGCCAGGGCACUUUCGUUGUUCAGAGGGGAAACUGAGGCCGGGGUAGAUACCGAGGCGGGAGGCAAGUGCUGGUAACAGCAGAGGCAGCUGUAUCUGAGGCCCAUGUGGCUGGGACUGGACUGGGUGCUGAUAUGCUGGGUGACUGGACAAAUCCCAGUGCCUUUCUGGGCCGGUUUCUCUGGCAGCCCCGAUGGCAAUAAUUCCACUUCCUGCUUCACCUUUUGUUAUCAGAGGGUCUGAAGGACAUUUUUAUGCCAAGAGAUGCUGGAUCUUUCCACCAACAGCAGGGAUAAUAACAGCUGCCACCUCUUGAGCACCUACAUGCUAAACACUGAGAUGGCAUUUUCUCAUCCUGCCCUCCUGUGACAGACUGUAUUCUCCAAACACAGCCACAACAUCUCCCACCCGCAUGCUCUUCCAGAAGCUUGCCACUCCCCGUCAAGAGGUGGUCUACUCCCCCUCCCCUUGAACUUGGGUGGGGCUUUGUGACUGCCUCUGAGAACAGAAAGGAGAAGAGCUGACCCUGCAAGAUUCCUGAGGCGAGGUCAUAAAAGGUCAUGCACCUUCUGCCUGACUCUCCUGAGAUGCUCGCCCUGCGAACCCAGCCACCAGGCUGCAAGGAAGCCCCAGCCACACGCAAAGGAUGUAUGUCAUCGUUCCAGCUGAUGCUUCCAGCUGAUGUCUCAGCUGUGCGAACGGAUGCACUCUCAGAUGAUUCUGGGCCCCAGCUGAUCUGAGUGGAGCAGAGUCAAGCCGUCCCCGCUGACCCUGGCCAAAAUUGCACAUUUAUGAGUGAAAUAGGUGUUCCCGUUGUUUUAAACCACUGAGUGCAGGCUACUUUGUUCCACAGCCUUGGUAACUGGAAGGCUGUGCCCACACCUUGCUAGGGACGGACCGUCCUCUCCGUUUUGUAGAUGAGGAAACUGAGUCCCACCUACCACAGUGGAAUCAGGAGUCAGCACCAGGAGCGAGCGGCUCUUAAUUGCCAGGCCUGGGCCACACGGGUGACUCAAAACCCAGCCGGGGGUCCUUUCGGGUCCAUCAAUUGUGUUGUAGCUCUGGGUGUGGGGUGGAGGAAAGUGGAGGCGAGGAAUAGUGGACAAACAGACUAUUGUCUUGGGCGCAAAGUCUCACAGGGACACUGUGACUCUUGUUCCACAAGAUUCACCCCUGGACCUCCUGGGGACACUGAUGGAUCAUCCUGGGGCUUCCUGCCAGGACCUGUCCCCAGGGGAGGUCCAGGUCCUGUGCUCAGGGAGGUGAACAGCACAGUACAGGGGGCUUGCGUGCACUGUAAGCUGCCCGGCCUGCGACCCUCAGUUAUCACCCUGGGUGCUGCAGUGCAGGGAGCUGAAAACGGAGGGGCUGGAGGAUGUGCCAGAUUGUAGACACUAGGCCAGGAGUGGGAGAUUCAGACCCGAGACUUAAUCCUCUUCUUUGGCUCUGUUAAAAAGCCAAAUUCAACUGAGUACAUUUUAAACAUCUUACUGCCUUUACUCAAGGAUUCACGAGUCGGGCAGCACCCCAUCCGGCCCACAGAAAGGAGCUCCGAAGAGCUGUGCGAAACGGACGACACGCAGGCAGAAGGGACGGGACAAGGAAGCUACGCAGCAGAGGGGGGUUGAUUGUGACAAGGUCACCUUCCGUUAGGGGGCGGCACGGGUCUGUCAGGCCGAUGACCCCACUGUGCUGACCAGAUCCAAAUACUCGAGGAGCCCCAAGUCAGCAAGCGGCUCUCCAGGAAUUGUCCCAUUUCCCUGCCUUUGUUCCCCGGCACAGGGAGAUCGCUUCUUCCGGAAAAAUAGAUUCCAGUGCGUGACUUUGUGCAAGUCGCCUCCCUCUCUGGCUGAGUUUCCUCAGUAGUUAAAUGCAAGAUAUUUGCUGAGGACACACUGUAGGUCCAAUGCUGGGGACAAACAGAGAGGUAAUUCCGUUUCCUCUUCUGUGCAGAGGGCCACUGGCGCAAUUACCAGGCCCGUGUCUAUUUAACUAAGCCUAUGCAGGCAAGGAGAUUACCUUCGUUCACUCACUCUUUCGAUCAAUAAG